GACGAACGCUGGCGGCGUGCUUAACACAUGCAAGUCGAACGGAAAGGCCCUGCUUUUGUGGGGUGCUCGAGUGGCGCACGGGUGUGUAACACGUGAGUAUCCUGCCCUUGACUUUGGGAUAACUUCAGGAAACUGCGGCUACUACCGGAUAGGAGCUCCUGCUGCAUGGUGGUGGUUGGACAGUUUCGGCUGUUGGGGAUGGACUCGCGGCUUAUCAGCUUGUUGGUGGGGUAGUGGCUUACCAAGGCUUUGACGGGUAGCCGGCAUGAGAGGUUGAACGGGGACAUGGGGACUGAGAGAGGGCGCAGACGCGUACGGGAGGCAGCAGGGGGGAAUAUGGCACAGUGGGGGGAAGCGUGAGGCAGCAACGCCGGGAGCGGGAUGACGGCUUUCGGGUGGUAAACCGCUGUCGCCUGUGACGAAGCGUGAGUGACGGUAAUGAGUAAAGAAGCACCGGCUAACUACGUG
rnacentral:rRNA from 1 species